UUAACUUGUUUAUUUUGUUCUCAGACUUCACUGUUAUGAGGGUUUGAUUGUGUCCCCCUGGCAGGUCCGCCAGGCCGUGAGGCCCGGGAUCAACCCCGCCAAGGCAACGAAAAAGGUAGUACACAAAGGGUGGGAGUGAGGGCCCAGAGGACCCGUUACUCGAUAAUGAUCCUUCCGCAGGUUCACCUACGGAAA
rnacentral:misc_RNA from 1 species